rnacentral:rRNA from 1 species
UACAGAGGUCUCAAGCGUUGUUCGGAUUCAUUGGGCGUAAAGGGUGCGUAGGUGGCUUGGUCAGUCGGAUGUGAAAUCCCGGGGCUCAACCCCGGAACUGCAUUCGAUACUGCCGCGCUAGAGUACUGGAGAGGAGAUUGGAAUUUACGGUGUAGCAGUGAAAUGCGUAGAUAUCGUAAGGAAGACCAGUGGCGAAGGCGGAUCUCUGGACAGUUACUGACACUGAGGCACGAAGGCCAGGGGAGCAAACGGG